AUGGACAGCGGAUGCACUAACCACAUGACUGGUGAUCGGAGUCUUCUCAAGGACUCAACCUUACGUCCAUGUGAUAAAAGUCACAUCACUUUCGCUGACACUGGUAAAAGCAAGGUAUUGGGCCUAGGUAGAGUUGCAAUCUCAAGGGAUCAGCACAUGGACAAAGUGAUGCUUGUUGAAUCCCUUGGUUUCAACUUAAUGUCUGUCUCAAUGCUUUGUGACUUAAACAUGAUUGUGCUAUUUGGAAAAUAUCGUUGCCUUGUACUAAUGGAAUCUGACAAGUCUCUAGUCUUCGAAGGGUACAUGAAAGAUGAUAUGUACAUGGUAGACUUCUCAGCAGGACCACAAAUGGUCAUAUGUCUUCUAGCCAAGUCUUCAGAGUGUUGGCUCUGGCAUCGGAGGCUAGGGCAUGCUGGCAUGAGUAACCUACACACUCUCGCCAAGAAGAAGCACGUCAUAGGCAUCGAAGACGUCAAAUUCAAGAAAGAUCAUCUAUGUGGUGCUUGUGAAGCUGGGAAGAUGACAAGGGCCAAGCAUCCCUCGAAGACAAUCAUGACUACAUCUCGACCUUUUGAGUUGCUCCACAUGGACUUGUUUGGUCCCACUCACUACUCUACUCUCACUGCUACUGCUUGUCUCUAUGGUUUCGUUAUUGUUGAUGAUUAUUCAAGAUACACUUGGGUGAACAUAAUUCUCUUCAAGACCGAAGUGCAAGAUGUCUUCAGACGCUUCGCCAACCGCGCCAUGAACAACUAUGGCGUCAAGAUCAAGCACAUUAGGAGUGACAACGACACAGAAUUCAAGAACACAGGCCUCGACCUCUAUCUUGACACCUUGGGCAUCACUCAUGAGUUUUCUGCUCCUUACACACUGUAA
rnacentral:rRNA from 1 species